rnacentral:lncRNA from 1 species
CCCGGCGGCCGGGCCGUCCGUCCCCGCCCCCGCCGGCCGCGGGUCCGCAGGUGAAGCGGCCGCCGCCGCUGGGUAGGUGCGUGGGGAUGAUCUCACUCGCGCGCUUCGCGCCAGGAGGAGGAGGAGCGGGAGCAAAUCCAACUUCCGGGUAGUGAAGCCGCACGCCACCGGCAUCUUGCAUUUUCUUACCCCCUCCUCCCGUCUACCCUUCUCCUCUCCCUCCUUUCCUUCUUUUCCCGGCCCCACCCGCCAAAAUGAACAGCUCGGACGAGGAGAAGCAGCUGCAGCUCAUCACCAGCCUUAAGGAGCAAGCAAUAGGCGAGUAUGAAGACCUUAGAGCAGAGAACCAGAAAACAAAGGAGAAGGUUUGUAUUUUACCAUUUAUUUUUUUCAUUUCUUACAUGUGUAAAAGCCUAGUCGGUAUCGUGCAUUGUUCCGCCACCAAUUUCAGUGAAAUGUGAAUGAGCUUUUUUUUUUUUCCUUUUCUUUUCUUUCCUCUUGCAUGUGUAGUUCAAGCUAAUAUCAACUCCAGGCUCCAGAUGGGAAAGAAUAGCAGGCAUGCCGCAGUGGGUGCAGCUCUGGGAGAUUAAUACACGGCUAAAUGUGCAGCAAGGCACGAGGCCAAGCAACUCAAGCUCCCCAGAAUUGUACUUUUUCCUAACAGUCAGAUUUGGAAUUCUGGUGAUGGAGGUGAAGCCUGAGACAUUUAACUUUGGGACUUGACAUUUUGAAUCCUGGAGAAAAUGAUUUGUAAUUAGGCAUGGGUGUUUAGCCUAAAUGCUUCCAUAAAUCUUUUGCAUAUUUACUUCUUCUAUCUAUAUGAAUAAUAUGCCAGAAGUUGAAAAACACUCAGUGUGAAAUGGGGGAGUACUGGUGAAUUCUUUCAGGGACC